rnacentral:rRNA from 1 species
UAUGUGAUCGUCUCUCGCAUAUCAAUAAGCGGAGGAAAAGAAACUAACAAGGAUUCCCCUAGUAACGGCGAGUGAAGCGGGAAGAGCUCAAAUCUGAAAUCUUAAAGGGUUUCCCUUUACGAAUUGUAGUUUAAAGAAGUGUUUUCUGUUGAGGUUUUGGUAAUAAGUUCUUUGGAAUAGGACAUCAUAGAGGGUGAGAAUCCCGUAUUUGACCUUUACUUUCAACUUUGUGAUACACUUUCAAAGAGUCGGAUUGUUUGGGAAUGCAGUCCAAAAUGGGUGGUAAAUUUCAUCUAAAGCUAAAUAUUGGCGAGAGACCGAUAGCGAACAAGUACCGUGAGGGAAAGAUGAAAAGAACUUUGAAAAGAGAGUUAAACAGUACGUGAAAUUGUCAAAAGGGAAGCGUUUGACACCAGUGUUGUUUUUCUGAAAAUCAAUUAAAGAACUGUUUAUGCUAAGUUGUUUAGACUUUAUCAGCUAUCUGUUUAGUUUUGAGCUUUUCUUUAAUGCACUUUUCAGUUAACAAGUCAACAUCAAUUUCUUUUGCUGUAAAAAAGCUUGAGGAAGGUGGCUUGAGAUUCGUCUUAAGUGUUUAUAGCCUCUUGCCUAUGCAGUCGGAGAGAUUGAGGUCUGCAGCGUAGAUCCUUCGGGGCUAAAUGCAUUUGUGCUAAGUUAUAACAUUUCAUAGACAACUUGUUGACUAUGAUUUGUCUUGUAGCUUACUCGCUUAUGUUAUUUUACCUACGCUUAGGAUGUUGAAUCUGUGCGAGACUAC